rnacentral:rRNA from 1 species
CGGAAGCAACACAGGGAAACUUGUGCUAAUACCGGAUAAGCCCUUACGGGGAAAGAUUUAUCGCCGAAAGAUCGGCCCGCGUCUGAUUAGCUAUUUGGUGAGGUAACGGCUCACCAAGGCGACGAUCAGUAGCUGGUCUGAGAGGAUGAUCAGCCACAUUGGGACUGAGACACGGCCCAAACUCCUACGGGAGGCAGCGGUGGGGAAUAUUGGACAAUGGGCGCAAGCCUGAUCCAGCCAUGCCGCGUGAGUGAUGAACGCCCUANGGUUGUAAAGCUCUUUUGUGCGGGAAGAUAAUGACGGUACCGCAAGAAUAAGCCCCGGCUAACUUCGUGCCAGCAGCCGCGGUAAUACGAAGGGGGCUAGCGUUGCUCGGAAUCACUGGGCGUAAAGGGUGCGUAGGCGGGUCUUUAAGUCAGGGGUGAAAUCCUGG